rnacentral:rRNA from 1 species
AUUGAACGCUGGCGGCAGGCCUAACACAUGCAAGUCGAACGAGUGGCGGACGGGUGAGUAAUGUCUGGGAAACUGCCUGAUGGAGGGGGAUCACUACUGGAAACGGUAGCUAAUACCGCAUACCAUCGGAUGUGCCCAGAUGGGAUUAGCUAGUAGGUGGGGUAACGGCUCACCUAGGCGCCGAUCCCUAGCUGGUCUGAGAGGAUGACCAGCCAAACGGGAACUCAGACACGGUCGAGACUCCUACGGGAGGCAGCAGUGGGGAGUAUUGCACAAUGGGCGCAAGACUAAUGCAGCCAUGCCGCGUGUAUGAAGAAGGCCUACGGGUUGUAAAGUACUUUCAGCGGGGAGGCGUUACCCGCAGAAGAAGCACCGGCUAACUCCGCGCCAGCAGCCGCGGUAAUAC